rnacentral:rRNA from 1 species
GAUGAACGCUGGCGGCGUGCCUAAUACAUGCAAGUCGAGCGAACAGACGAGGAGCUUGCUCCUCUGACGUUAGCGGCGGACGGGUGAGUAACACGUGGAUAACCUACCUAUAAGACUGGGAUAACUUCGGGAAACCGGAGCUAAUACCGGAUAAUAUAUUGAACCGCAUGGUUCAAUAGUGAAAGACGGUUUUGCUGUCACUUAUAGAUGGAUCCGCGCCGCAUUAGCUAGUUGGUAAGGUAACGGCUUACCAAGGCAACGAUGCGUAGCCGACCUGAGAGGGUGAUCGGCCACACUGGAACUGAGACACGGUCCAGACUCCUACGGGAGGCAGCAGUAGGGAAUCUUCCGCAAUGGGCGAAAGCUUGACGUAGCAACGCCGCGUGAGUGAUGAAGGUCUUCGGAUCGGAAAACUCUGUUAUUAGGGAAGAACAAAUGUGUAAGUAACUAUGCACGUCUUGACGGUACCUAAUCAGAAAGCCACGGCUAACUACGUG